rnacentral:sRNA from 3 species
AUGCUGACACUGCCGGUUCUGCUGUACCGCCCGUAUCCAUCUGAAGACUGCUGGCGACGCUGUAUCGGCC